rnacentral:rRNA from 1 species
UACGAACCGUCCAAACGUUAUUCGGAUUCAUUGGGCUUAAAGGGUACGUAGGCGGCCCUGUUAGUCGGGUGUGAAAUCCCUCGGCUCAACCGAGGAACUGCGCCCGAUACUGCAGGGCUUGAGGGAGACAGAGGUAAGCGGAACUGAUGGUGGAGCGGUGAAAUGCGUUGAUAUCAUCAGGAACACCAGUGGCGAAAGCGGCUUACUGGGUCUCUUCUGACGCUGAGGUACGAAAGCUAGGGGAGCGAAUGGG